rnacentral:rRNA from 1 species
AACGAACGCUGGCGGCAGGCCUAACACAUGCAAGUCGAGCGAAGCCUUCGGGCUUAGCGGCGGACGGGUGAGUAACGCGUGGGAACGUGCCCUUUGCUACGGAAUAGCCCCGGGAAACUGGGAGUAAUACCGUAUGUGCCCUUCGGGGGAAAGAUUUAUCGGCAAAGGAUCGGCCCGCGUUGGAUUAGGUAGUUGGUGGGGUAAUGGCCUACCAAGCCGACGAUCCAUAGCUGGUUUGAGAGGAUGAUCAGCCACACUGGGACUGAGACACGGCCCAAACUCCCACGGGAGGCAGCAGUGGGGAAUCUUAGACAAUGGUGGAAACCCUGAUCUAGCCAUGCCGCGUGAUCGAUGAAGGCCUUAGGGUUGUAAAGAUCUUUCAGUGGGGAAGAUAAUGACUGUACCCACAGAAGAAGCCCCGGCUAACUCCGUGCCAGCCGCCGCGGUAA